GUAGACUUUCAUUAUGCAGAUUUAUAUCACCAUGACAUUGGCAGUUUUUUUUAUACCCACAUACUUCCAAAAAUGAAUCUGUAAUAACUUGUAGUGAGACAAUAACACACUGGAACCACAUAAAAACAAUAGCGAAGGAGCAGAGUGAAGUGAUGCAGACUUGCAGAAAAAUAUUGUAAUAAUAUCUCAGAAAAUCUAGGCCAAGGAAGCCACAGC
rnacentral:lncRNA from 1 species